rnacentral:tRNA from 1 species
GGACUUGUGCCUGAAAAAGGAUUACUUUGAUAGAGUAAAUAUAAGGGUUAAAGCCCCUUCAACUCCU